UAGAAACUAGGGAGUCAGUUCGGCUGGAUUGGAUACAGGUGUUGCAUGGCUGUCGUCAGCUCGUGUCGUGAGAUGUCGGGUUAAGUCCUUUAACGAGCGCAACCCUCAUUGCAUGUUAAUUUUUCAUGCGAGACUGCCCUGGUUAACAGGGAGGAAGGUGGGGAUGACGUCAAGUCAGCAUGGCCCUUACACCUUGGGCUACACACGUGUUACAAUGGCCGGUACAAUAAGUCGCAAUACCGUAAGGUGGAGCUAAUCUAUGAAAACCGGUCCCAGUUCGGAUUGGGGGCUGAAACUCGCCCCCCAUGAAGUCGGAAUCGCUAGUAACCGUGAAUCAGCACGUCACGGUGAAUACGUUCCCGGGUCUU
rnacentral:rRNA from 1 species